rnacentral:SRP_RNA from 1 species
GCCAGGUGCAGUGGCUGGCACUUGUAGUCCCAGCUCUCAAAAGGUUGAGGUGGGAGGAGUGCUUGAGCACAGGAUUCUGUGCUGUAAUGUGCUAUGCUGAUUGGUGUCCGUGGUAAUUUUGACAUUAAUAUGAUGACCUACUGGGAGUGAGGGACCACCAAGUUGCCUAAAAAAGGGUGACUCGGCAGGUUGGAAAUGGAGCAGGUAAAAAAUCCUGUGCUGAUUGAUAGUGGGAUUGAGCCUGUAAAUAGCCACUGUACUCCAGCCUGGCAACAUAGCAAGACUCUGUCUCU